rnacentral:rRNA from 1 species
UACGGAGGGAGCUAGCGUUGUUCGGAAUUACUGGGCGUAAAGCGCACGUAGGCGGCUUUGUAAGUUAGAGGUGAAAGCCUGGAGCUCAACUCCAGAAUUGCCUUUAAGACUGCAUCGCUUGAAUCCAGGAGAGGUGAGUGGAAUUCCGAGUGUAGAGGUGAAAUUCGUAGAUAUUCGGAAGAACACCAGUGGCGAAGGCGGCUCACUGGACUGGUAUUGACGCUGAGGUGCGAAAGCGUGGGGAGCAAACAGGAUUAGAAA